rnacentral:lncRNA from 1 species
GUUAAAGUGCCGAGAGAAAUGGUUGGAUAAGUUCUAAUUGGCUUUCCAACUGUGUUGGAAGGGUUAAAAGUGAGUUUAAAAGAGUUAGAAAGAUUUUUGCGUUGUUCGGUGCGAAGUAGAAUCGAAACAAUGCGAAAAAAUGCAAUCUGGGCAAAGUGUAAUACAACAUUGAUGUUGUACCGGUACAACAUUGCAGGCCGAGAGGAAAUAGCUCUCAGGUUUGAGAAAC